rnacentral:rRNA from 1 species
GACGAACGCUGGCGGCGUGCUUAACACAUGCAAGUCGAACGGAAAGGCCCUGCUUUUGUGGGGUGCUCGAGUGGCGAACGGGUGAGUAACACGUGAGUAACCUGCCCUUGACUUUGGGAUAACUUCAGGAAACUGGGGCUAAUACCGGAUAGGAGCUCCUGCUGCAUGGUGGGGGUUGGAAAGUUUCGGCGGUUGGGGAUGGACUCGCGGCUUAUCAGCUUGUUGGUGGGGUAGUGGCUUACCAAGGCUUGGACGGGUAGCCGGCCUGCGAGGGUGACCGGCCACAUGGGGACUGAGAUACGGCCCAGACUCCAACGGGAGGCAGCAGUGGGGAAGAUUGCACAAUGGGCGGAAGCCUGAUGCAGCAACGCCGCGUGCGGGAUGACGGCCUUCGGGUUGUAAACCGCUUUCGCCUGUGACGAAGCGUGAGUGACGGUAAUGGGUAAAGAAGCACCGGCUAACUACGUG